GAUGAACGCUGGCGGCGUGCCUAAUACAUGCAAGUCGAGCGAACAGACGAGGAGCUUGCUCCUCUGACGUUAGCGGCGGACGGGUGAGUAACACGUGUAUAAUCCACUUAUAUGACUGGGAUAAUUUCGGGAAUCCGGCUCUAAUACCGUAUAAUAUAUUGAACCGCAUGGUUCAAUAGUGAAAUACGGCUUUUCUGUCACUAAUAGAUGGAUCCGCGCUGCAUUAGCUAGUUGGUAAGGUAACGGCUUACCAAGGCAACGAUGCGUAGCCGACCUGAGAGAGUGAUCGGCCACACUGGAACUGAAACACGGUCCAGACUCCUACGGGAGGCAGCAGUAGGGAAUCUUACGCAAUGGGCGGAAGCCUGACGGAGCAACGCCGCGUGAGUUGUGAAGGUCUUCGGAUCGUAAAACUCUGUUAUUAGGGAAAAACAGAUGUGUAAGUAACUAUGCACGUAUUGACGGUACCUAAUCAGGAAGCCACGGCUAACUACGUG
rnacentral:rRNA from 1 species